AUGGGGCCGAUCCUUCAAAUGCCGUCUACAGCGCUGGCAUCUUACGUGUUCCCAGUCUAAAAGGGAGAAUGUUUGGUACUUUCAUUGGCUAAGACUUGUCUCUGAUUGCAGGACUGUGAUAGACAGGAAGAUCCCGCAGCUUGCAACUUUGCCGAUAUCAGCAGAGGGAGAAAAACAUGGAGUCUGCUGAUAACCUAAUGUGGAGAAUUAAACUUGAGCCCGACAAAGGCGGAAUCUUAAUAUGAAGUGGCCUGGCUCUGCAGGGAGGUCACCUGGCUGGCUGGGCUUCAGAAGCGAUGACCCAGGAUUUAGAAGAUUGCCAAGCACCCGGUAGAUAGCAGCCCUGACUCAUGUGUCGCAUUGCCCUGAUAGUGACAGCUGAGGGAGAUGGGAGGUGCAAACCGAAGACCGAUACCGUCUCCAGCUGAGGCACCCCAUGAGUCUACCACAGGGAUGGCUGCCCAUCUGUCUCAGGAAAUGGCGGGACUUUCCUUAAACCUAGAGGCAAACAUCUCCCACUUUCUGAGGGUCGGAAGGCAUUCUGGAGGCCUAACAUUCCCCUCUGCAGUGUGAGGAAGGGGGCCUGUCCCCCUCCAAGUCUGUGGCAGGGCAAGAAGGGACCUGCUUACCCGAAGCUUCCUCCCGAAGAU